AACGCUCGUUCUGAUUAAGGACAGUAAAUGGAUUGUUUGUGUUGAUUGAAUGAUGAAUGAGUGAUUGGUUGAUGAACUAUUCUUGAUUGUGGUUGAAAGCUAGGAUGCUUAGAAGGAAUUAAAAGUAGGUUAAUAGCAAACGCUAACCGGUUGAUUAGAUGAAUGAUAGGACAUCCUUGAAAUGGUUGUUUAUUGAAUUGAAUGUGACACCGAGAACGGGUGGCGUCUAGAAAUGAAAGAAAGGAAAGAGUCUAAAGAA
rnacentral:lncRNA from 1 species